rnacentral:misc_RNA from 1 species
ACGGACGUGCACGACUACGACGUGAAGAUGAAGAAUGUCUUCAAGUUCCUCGAGAAGGGCGACAAGGUGAAGGUCACCCUGCGCUUCCGCGGCCGCGAAAUGGCGCACCAGAACCUCGGGCGCGAAUUGCUCGAACGGGUGGCCGAGGACGUGAAGGAAGUCGGCAAGGUCGAGAACAUGCCGAAGAUGGAAGGCCGUCAGAUGAUCAUGAUGGUCGGCCCGGUGAAGUAGGGCUUUCCAAAUCCACGAGAUGAGAUGGGCGCCCCAUGUGGCGCCCUUUUUCGUUUGUAAUAGAUCGCAUUUGCGACGGGUGCCGCGUGGCAUUCUAUUCGCA